GACGAACGCUGGCGGCGUGCCUAAUACAUGCAAGUCGAACGAACCGCGACUGAGUGCUUGCACUUGGUCAAGGUGAGUGGCGAACGGGUGAGUAACACGUGGGUAACCUACCUCAUAGUGGGGGAUAACAGUCGGAAACGACUGCUAAUACCGCAUAGGACAUAGGAUCACAUGAUCCAGUGAGGAAAGGUGGCGCAAGCUAUCGCUAAGGGAUGGACCCGCGUUGCAUUAGCUAGUUGGUAGGGUAAAGGCCUACCAAGGCGAUGAUGCAUAGCCGACCUGAGAGGGUGAUCGGCCACAUUGGGACUGAGACACGGCCCAAACUCCUACGGGAGGCAGCAGUAGGGAAUCUUCCGCAAUGGACGCAAGUCUGACGGAGCAACGCCGCGUGAGUGAAGAAGGUCUUCGGAUCGUAAAGCUCUGUUGUUAGAGAAGAACAGCGCAUAGAGUAACUGCUAUGCGUGUGACGGUAUCUAACCAGAAAGCCACGGCUAACUACGUG
rnacentral:rRNA from 1 species